rnacentral:rRNA from 1 species
GUCUAAGGCUAUACCACCCUGAACUUGCCUGAUUGUUUGAUCUCAGAAGCUUAGCAGGGUUGGGCCUGGUUUGUACUUGGGUGGGAGACUGCCUGGGAAUACCUGGUGCUAUAGGCU